GUGUUGUAUGCAAGGAGAGAAAGAUAGCACUCCCCUUGACAAAGAUGGGCCUAGCAACAGGGCCAGUGGUUAAGGCAGUGCCAUGUAUUGUGGCAUCUGAUGACUGUUUUUA
rnacentral:ncRNA from 1 species